rnacentral:lncRNA from 1 species
AACAAUUAAGCUUGAACACAGCCAGUUUUGCCAGUCGUUCACUGAACCACGGUGUUGGCAAUUCCAUUGGCAAUAAUUGAUGCCAGUUGCACGUGCAAGGGGUUUUUCCUGCUGUAUCUAUAUUUUUCCAUAAGGUUCUGCAAACUUCAAAAAUCAAAUGUAUCAGAAUCCUAAAGAAUCAAAUGUAUCAGACCUGAGGAUGGUCCCAAGAAUCCUAAAGGCUCAACCAAAUGAGAGUAGUUGGUUCUGCUCCUAGGCUUGUCUUGCCUUUGUUUUUUUGUCGUUUCUUUUGUUAAAUUUGGUUGGUAUCGCCUUGGUUCUGCUCCAAGAACCAAAAGAUUCCUGUCCUGCAUAACGCUGCUACUCAGAAGUCAUAACCUAGUGAAUGGGGCAACUCUAACCUUUAAACAUUACACAGUAAGUAGCAAAAUUCCUCACAUUUUCCUUGGUUCGAAAUUGAAAGUGGCUCAAAUCAAUCUUUGUACAAAUACCAGAUAAGACUAGUCCUUCUCUUUUUAUCAAUGAGGAAAAUCAAACUCAUGAACUUAAAGAACAAGUAGAAAGGAGGAAAAUAAAACAAAAGAAGAUUCUCAAACAGAAGUUAAUUUGAUUAACCAUUAACUUUACACAUCAAGAAAGUCGUGCAUUAACUAAAAAGCUUCCCCAACAAAGCCUGAAGUUACCAAGUUAGCUUUUCUUUCCCUACUUUUCCAGUUUUCCACCAUUCUUUCCAACAAGUCUGGGAAUUUAAAGUUGCAUAAUGGUGAAAAGUAAUUUCUUCUCAAUGAAAACCACCCUGCAAUCACUUUCCCUCUCAAAACCCAGUUCAGAACUCAGAAUUCUGAAUAUUAUUACACCCCAAAAGGAGAGAAAAAAAAAGAUACACACUACAUUCAUACAUUCAAUUGUCAAAAGUGACAACCCCAACAAAGAUAGAAAAAACAGAGAGUAGCCACCAAGAAAAUAGCCUCUAAAACCGACGCAAUCCUGAAAAGCACAUCGUCAUGAAAAGAAGGAUGAAUGUUUAGCUUCUUCCACUUGAAAGCAGACCCCAAAAACUUCCACCUCCAUAACUCCUUCUUUAUCAGCCUCUUGAACAACACCCACCUCUUCGUCCUACCCAUCACUUUCACUUUUAGUUUGUCUUUUCUAGGCCUUGGCCUUUGAUUGGAGAAGAAGACGAGUUGGAGAGGUAGUUAUAUAUCGGAGAGGAAAAGUUCAGUUUCUUAAGAAACAAGGAUAAAAGGAAUAGUGGGGACUGGGGAGACAGGUUAGCAUUGGUGAGUCAAAAUCAGAAAUGGGAACAUGGUGUGGGUCCUGGGAAAGUUGGAAUUUUGGAGUUUUUCAAGAAACCGUCCCUUGGCGAUGAUAGUGCGGGAGAAGGUCAACAAAUUUAUAAUUAAUUAGUACUGGGAAACUGGGAUGGAAUGUUUGGGCCACCAGUCCACGCUCCAUCGCUAGAUGGGAAGAAACUGAGAAACCAACCGUGCGCGUUGAAUCUAUCUUUCAAGUAGAAGGUUCUUUCUCCGUAGAUACGUAUAUUUGCAUUAUAUAAAAUAUUAAUAAUUUAUAUAUUUAUAUUAUAUUUUAUAUAAAAAUUAUAUAUUAUAAUUUAUAUUAAUAUAA